rnacentral:rRNA from 1 species
UUCCGUAGGUGACUCGCGGAACGAUCAUUA